rnacentral:lncRNA from 1 species
UUUGAAAGUCCAGACAAAAAGAAGUUGGUUUUUUUUUUGUGAGAGAGAAUGAUAGUAUAUUGUCUUUUUUAUUUUUUUAUAAAUAAAUUUAGUUAGAAAUAUGAAGCAUUUAAGGCUUAGAAUUCGAGACCUCGAAUACCAACCAUCUAGUCCUUUAUCCUUUGCGUUAGAAACUGGUCGGGUUAAAAUGAUUAUAAAAGUUAGGUGAAUUAAGAAAUAAUUGCAUGUAGAUCCUUACAAAAGUAUUAAAUAAUAAAUAUAUCCCGACAAACUUAAGUUAUCAGGUUUAUCCUUCUAAAAGUUUUUGUCUCUAAAUAUAUCCCUCUAUUAAUAAAAUUUAGAUAAUCAUGAAUUAAAAAUACUAACCAUAGUUAGUUAAGGGAUAAAAUAACUAUUUUACACCUUAUAUAUAUAAUCCGUAUUACAAUAUUGAAUCUCUUCAUUUUUCUCACCCUCUCCUUUUUAUCCAUGGCAACGACAAUACUUACAGCGAUGGUGACAUCAAAGGCAAGGCCUUCGAUCGUGGUAAAAAUGAGGUAUAUAGCACAUGCCGCGGCAAAGGUGAGACCAGAGAGAGAAAGAAAGAUUGCUUUUUACAUAAAUAAAUUUGUAAUGGUAAUAUAGUUAUUUUACACACACAUUAUUAAAAAAUUAAUAGUAAUCAAGCGGUAGUGACAUAUAUAAACAAAAUUAAAUUUUUACAGAAAUAUAUUUGCAAACUAGAAAAUUUUUGAAGGAAUAAAUUUAAUAACUUAAGUUCUGUAAAGCUAUAUUUGUUAUUUGAUAUCUUUGCAGGCAACGCAUGUA